GAUGAACGCUGGCGGCGUGCCUAAUACAUGCAAGUCGAGCGAACGGACGAGAAGCUUGCUUCUCUGAUGUUAGCGGCGGACGGGUGAGUAACACGUGGAUAACCUACCUAUAAGACUGGGAUAACUUCGGGAAACCGGAGCUAAUACCGGAUAAUAUUUUGAACCGCAUGGUUCAAAAGUGAAAGACGGUCUUGCUGUCACUUAUAGAUGGAUCCGCGCUGCAUUAGCUAGUUGGUAAGGUAACGGCUUACCAAGGCAACGAUGCAUAGCCGACCUGAGAGGGUGAUCCGCCAAACUGGAACUGAGACACGGUCCAGACUCCUACGGGAGGCAGCAGUAGGGAAUCUUCCGCAAUGGGCGAAAGCCUGACGGAGCAACGCCGCGUGAGUGAUGAAGGUCUUCGGAUCGUAAAACUCUGUUAUUAGGGAAGAACAUAUGUGUAAGUAACUGUGCACAUCUUGACGGUACCUAAUCAGAAAGCCACGGCUAACUACGUG
rnacentral:rRNA from 1 species